rnacentral:rRNA from 1 species
UGGAUCCUGAGUACGGCGGAACACGUGAAAUUCCGUCGGAAUCCGGGAGGACCAUCUCCCAAGGCUAAAUACUCCCUAGUGACCGAUAGUGAACCAGUACCGUGAGGGAAAGGUGAAAAGCACCCCGGAAGGGGAGUGAAACAGUUCCUGAAACCGUGUGCCUACAAGUAGUUAGAGCCCGUUAAUGGGUGAUAGCGUGCCUUUUGUAGAAUGAACCGGCGAGUUACGAUUUGUUGCAAGGUUAAGCGGAAAAAGCGGAGCCGUAGCGAAAGCGAGUCUGAAUAGGGCGCAUAAGUAACAGGUCGUAGACCCGAAACCAGGUGAUCUACCCAUGUCCAGGAUGAAGGUAAGGUAAUACUUACUGGAGGUCCGAACCCACGCACGUUGAAAAGUGCGGGGAUGAGGUGUGGGUAGCGGAGAAAUUCCAAUCGAACUUGGAGAUAGCUGGUUCUCUCCGAAAUAGCUUUAGGGCUAGCCUCGAGGUAAAGAGUCAUGGAGGUAGAGCACUGUUUGGACUAGGGGCCCUUCUCGGGUUACCGAAUUCAGAUAAACUCCGAAUGCCAUGUACUUAUACUCGGGAGUCAGACUGCGAGUGAUAAGAUCCGUAGUCGAAAGGGAAACAGCCCAGACCACCAGUUAAGGUCCCCAAAUAUAUGUUAAGUGGAAAAGGAUGUGGGGUUGCUUAGACAACCAGGAUGUUGGCUUAGAAGCAGCCACCAUUGAAAGAGUGCGUAAUAGCUCACUGGUCGAGUGACCCCGCGCCGAAAAUGUACCGGGGCUAAACAUAUUACCGAAACUGUGGAUGAACCUCUUUAGAGGUUCGUGGUAGGAGAGCGUUCUAAGGGCGGUGAAGUCAGACCGGAAGGACUGGUGGAGCGCUUAGAAGUGAGAAUGCCGGUAUGAGUAGCGAAAGAAGGGUGAGAAUCCCUUCCACCGAAUAUCUAAGGUUUCCUGAGGAAGGCUCGUCCGCUCAGGGUUAGUCGGGACCUAAGCCGAGGCCGAUAGGCGUAGGCGAUGGACAACAGGUAGAGAUUCCUGUACCAGUGCUAAUUGUUUAACCGAUGGGGUGACACAGAAGGAUAGGGAAUCGCACGAAUGGAAAUGUGCGUCCAAGCAGUGAGUGUGAG